rnacentral:rRNA from 1 species
GCUCAGAUUGAACGCUGGCGGCAGGCUUAACACAUGCAAGUCGAGCGGAAACGAUGGUAGCUUGCUACCAGGCGUCGAGCGGCGGACGGGUGAGUAAUACUUAGGAAUCUACCUAGUAGUGGGGGAUAGCACGGGGAAACUCGUAUUAAUACCGCAUACGACCUACGGGAGAAAGGGGGCAGUUUACUGCUCUCGCUAUUAGAUGAGCCUAAGUCGGAUUAGCUAGAUGGUGGGGUAAAGGCCUACCAUGGCGACGAUCUGUAGCUGGUCUGAGAGGAUGAUCAGCCACACCGGGACUGAGACACGGCCCGGACUCCUACGGGAGGCAGCAGUGGGGAAUAUUGGACAAUGGGGGAAACCCUGAUCCAGCCAUGCCGCGUGUGUGAAGAAGGCCUUUUGGUUGUAAAGCACUUUAAGCAGUGAAGAAGACUCUUCGGUUAAUACCCGGAGACGAUGACAUUAGCUGCAGAAUAAGCACCGGCUAACUCUGUGCCAGCAGCCGCGGUAAUACAGAGGGUGCAAGCGUUAAUCGGAAUUACUGGGCGUAAAGCGAGCGUAGGUGGCUUGAUAAGUCAGAUGUGAAAUCCCCGGGCUUAACCUGGGAACUGCAUCUGAAACUGUUAGGCUAGAGUAGGUGAGAGGGAAGUAGAAUUUCAGGUGUAGCGGUGAAAUGCGUAGAGAUCUGAAGGAAUACCGAUGGCGAAGGCAGCUUCCUGGCAUCAUACUGACACUGAGGCUCGAAAGCGUGGGUAGCAAACAGGAUUAGAUACCCUGGUAGUCCACGCCGUAAACGAUGUCUACUAGUCGUUGGGUCCCUUGAGGACUUAGUGACGCAGCUAACGCAAUAAGUAGACCGCC